UAUUCGUUAGUUUUUUCUUUUCACUUGUUCAUUUUCAAUUGACAGCACAAGAUGAUAGAUUUGCAAACUCAAACUGGUUAUUCAUGUGACGUAGUUGAGGGAAAUACCUCUACACAGCCCACAUUAAUGACAUAAAAAGAUAUAAUAAAUAAUGUCCUUGGCACAUGAUCGGGAUACAUAUGGGGAGCGGGCCAAGCACUAAGAGGGGGUUCGAGAAGGAGGAGCACAGAAAAUGGUUAUUUCUCUACUCAAAGUCAAGAACACAUGCUUGAGACCUUCAAAACUCUACAGAAUGCUGAUCGAUAACCUUAAGAACUUUGUGAAGUCUAUGUUCCCACAUUUUGGGCGCUGAUUAGGUUGAGUCAUGAACAAGCCUUAACUCCUUCUACAGCACCUGAGGGUCCAUUCAGCCAUGAAUCUUACUAUUUAGCAACUUAAUCUUCUACAGCACCUGAGGGUCCAUUCAGCCAUGGUCAAAAAAAAAAAAGAGAAUAGAAAUUGACAUGACGAGAAGAAGAGGGCAAUAAUCACUCACACUCAUCACCCAUCUUCAGUUUUAUUAGUUUUCGGUUCAGACUGUACCCAAACAAUACAGAUUCUUUGUUCCUCAAUCCCGCCAAAUAUCAUGGAUGAUGCUCUCGGUGAUGCUAACCUCCUCGGUGAUCCUUAUUGCACUCGCAUGGUUGCUCGCGUUUGUUUCUCAACAAACUUCGAACACACGCUUUGCAAGGGACAAAGUAAACGCAAUGUUCUAUGCAGAGAUGUACCAUUUGAUCCGAGCAGGAAGCAUCGACGACACCAACUUUCUCACGACAAUAUGAUGCUCUCGGUGAUCCUUACUGCACUCUCAUGGUUGCUCGUGUUUCUCAACAAACUAUCGAACACACGC